rnacentral:lncRNA from 10 species
AGUGUGAAUGUCUCCCAUUUGUCCAGUGAAGAAACUGAAGCUCAGACGGGGGAUAGCUGGCCUUAGGUUGUCUAGCUGGGAGAUGAGAGAGCUGAGGCUGACCACAUAGUGGUCAUUUCCCCUAUAUAUGCUGCCUUGGCUGCUGUGUAUGGCUGUACAGUUUAUGCAUUGCACAAGCACGCCCAGUCCAGAGAAUGAGUAGGGUCUGGGCUGAAAUCUAACCUAUGAUGAUCCACUCAACAAGCUGGCUGCCUCUUUGUAAAUCUGUGUCUAUCUCUGGAGGAAGAGGCUCAUUUCUCUAAUUUGUUCUCCCAUGUAAAAAUUCUUCAACCUCACCUCAACCUCUGAUUCUUUGGUCCCACCACCUUUUGUUUGUUUGUUUGUUUGAGACAGAGUCUUGC